GGGCUCGUAGUGUAGCCUGGUUAACACGCCUCCUUGUCACGGAGGAAAUCGUGGGUUCAAAUCCCAUCGAGCCCG
rnacentral:tRNA from 1 species